rnacentral:rRNA from 1 species
AUUGAACGCUGGCGGCAGGCCUAACACAUGCAAGUCGAGCGGAUGAAGGGAGCUUGCUCCUGGAUUCAGCGGCGGACGGGUGAGUAAUGCCUAGGAAUCUGCCUGGUAGUGGGGGAUAACGUCCGGAAACGGGCGCUAAUACCGCAUACGUCCUGAGGGAGAAAGUGGGGGAUCUUCGGACCUCACGCUAUCAGAUGAGCCUAGGUCGGACUAGCUAGUUGGUGGGGUAAAGGCCUACCAAGGCGACGAUCCGUAACUGGUCUGAGAGGAUGAUCAGUCACACUGGAACUGAGACACGGUCCAGACUCCUACGGGAGGCAGCAGUGGGGAAUAUUAGACAAUGGGCGAAAGCCUGAUCCAGCCAUGCCGCGUGUGUGAAGAAGGUCUUCGGAUUGUAAAGCACUUUAAGUUGGGAGGAAGGGCAGUAAGUUAAUACCUUGCUGUUUUGACGUUACCAACAGAAUAAGCACCGGCUAACUUCGUG